rnacentral:lncRNA from 1 species
GCAAAAGAUAUCAUUUUAUCAAACAGAAAAUUAUAGAAGUUGCUGUUAGCGGAUUAUCUUUCCAGAUAUUUUGCAUAGGAGCAGAAUAAAAUGAGUUCUCCCCAGUCACAGAUCCAACAUUCAUCUCAGAAGAUCUCCAAGCAUCUACUCAAGUUAGGACAGACAUCAUGGGUUUGACUGUACCAGUGAAGAUCCUUCUUCUGACCUGCCUGGUGUAUUUUGUGAUCUCUUCAGUAGAUGGCAGAAUCUUUAGAGGCUCUAAGAAUCAGUCCAAGAAGAAAGGCAGUGGUUUAAAAGGGAGCAAGAAGAUUCCACAGAAUGUUCCACAGAAUGCUCCGGGUAAGGUUCCACAGAAUGUUCAGCCUUCAGCAAAUCAGGCACCAGCAACAGCAGCACCAGCAGCAGCAGCAGCAGAACCAGCACCAGCAGAACCAGCACCAGCAGAAGCAGCGCCAGCAGAAGCAGCACCAGCAGAUGCGUGAUUGACAGCUGCUUUACUCAAAGUUUCAUUUAGCUGAAGAGUUUCAUGCUUUAAUUGCAGUAAAGAUUAAAAAUGGCAAAUAGAGUUGACAGUUUGUGAAAUGCAUUAAUUGUUGUUCUUAAUUCUACAACUUGCACUCGGAGGUUGAUUAUUAAUGGUAAAGAGUUUGCAUGUUCUGUUUAAGCAUAAUUAAUUUCACUAUCCUGUGUAUUAAAAACAAAAUGUGACUAAUACAAUUUUAGUCUGCUAAGCCUCUUUUUGGUAAUUGGAUCCUAUAAUAUUUUCCAUUCUAAAAAUAAAUAAAUAAAAUAAUAAUGAC